rnacentral:rRNA from 1 species
AUGACCGAAGCCAUCUUUGGUGCGAGAAGCUCCAGCCUUGGGAAAAACAUGCUGAUGAAGUUGAAAGCAUUGUAUUCCUUAGUGGAAAAACUAUAUGUUGGCAGUCUUCACACUCUUGUAGCUGCAUCAGGUGGUAAAAAACUACCGCAGCUCAUAAGAGAUGUACUGGAUCAACUGUCCACAAUGUUGAAGCAAAUUGAUGAACUGAGGAUGUCAGCCGCCCGAGCAGGGGCGAUAACUUCACUAAGCCGGGCAAAAGUUUAUUCAGUCAGGACCCUGGAAGAGAUGGCCGGCGGGUUUCCCAAAUUUAAAGAUGAUGGGUCUGAUUUUACUCGGACGGAUUAUGAUACAUCCAUUUUGCAUCACAUGCUUUUAUGUUGA